CUCAAGCUGUGUAAAUCUGCAGGAGCAGGAGGACAGGAAGCUGUUUGCUGGCCCGAAUCCCAAGUGGCACUGAGGUAAGACCACCCCCACACUAAUUUACACAGAACAUAAUCCCACCCACACACUCUUUCCCAACCAAUCCCAUAAUCCCAUCUAUCCCCACACUCCUACAUGUGCCCUUGUCCGCUUAGCUGCGCUAUCUCC